UAAAACCCCUUUUGUUGUGUCUCU
rnacentral:siRNA from 1 species